rnacentral:lncRNA from 1 species
CCGCCCGGGUCGCAGUCCCGCGGCUCAAGUCCAAGGUCGCCUUCUCGCGAUUUCCCGGCCGCGGGACCCGGCACACGGCCGCCUCUGCCGCCGCCGUUCUUCAGUCGCCCAGAGGAUUUCCACCGGUGCUUCCCACCAGCGGCACAACGCUCCGCCACCCCGAUUUCGCUUCAGUUUAACUCAACUCUUUUUUUUUUAGCUCUCCUCGUCCGUUUUUUUUUCGAGUUGUGUAAAGGAAGAGAAGUUCGCGGCAGGAAUUGUGACGGGUUUCCGAGUGCUUCAGUUUAGUGCGACCGGGUAGUCUUACUCCAGAAUUUGUGCGAUUUCAACCGUUCAUUUUGACGAGAUACCAAGAUCCCAGGCUUGUGCUCUUUCAACGCAAAAUCUCUACCUAAAUUUGUUUUGGUUCAUCUUCAUUUCGUUCCUUAAAUUUUUCGUCGAUUUAACCCCGGUGAGGCUUUGAGGAACCAGGUUCGGUGCUACACCAAAAUCUACAGCAAUUCCCCGCGUCAAUUCGUGCUUUUCCUUCUACAAGUUUGAGGAAAUUUGCGAUUUCCGUCACUCGCCUGAAAAUUGUUCAAUUCGCCCUUUAUAAUUUGAUAAUCCCGCGAAAAUUCCUCGCGAUCUGAGAAUCGGACGAUGUACCGGAUGUUUCCACGUCGCGUGCCCUCGGUAGGCGUGUUCCUGGCGGCGGCCAUCUUCUGGCUGGCGACCGUGGGGCCGCCCAUCUCCGGGGCGACACGGUGUCCCCGCUGGACUCGGCGUUCCUCGAGUCCACGAUGCUGGCGUCCAACUUCGUGGUCGGGGAAGACGGGACGACGGUCGCGACGCCGGCCAACGGGAGCCUCCACCGGAGCGUCGAGGAGAUCUUCUUCGACCUGGAGCUGACCCCGAAGUCGAAGCCCGAGGUCAAGCCGAAGACCAAGCGCGUGUCCCCGGAGGCGCCGGCCGUCCCGCGGGCCUCGCGCUCCGUCUGGAUCACCCAGCUCCUCGCCGAGAAGCUCGCGGAUUUCCGCCCCCGCGCCACCGGCAACCCCGAGUGCAACGCUCAGAGCGAGAUCUACCAGCAGCACCUCAAGAAUCUCACGCUGUGGGCCAUGCAAAUGCGCGAAGCCUCAGCCAAGUCUGCAAGUGGUUUUCUCUACGGGCAACCUUCUCAGCUCGGGAACUUCGAUGAAUGUGUGAGUGUGCAAGACACCGCUCCAGGAGUGUCCGGCCGCUACUGCCUUGCCAAAAUCGAGUUUUCGCCCACUUAUCGACUGUAUCCGGAGUAUUACAGCUUCCCUUUGGAAGGUCUCAGCCCCUCGCCGGAUGUCAACGUCUGGGAGUAUGUUAAAGUAAGUUCUUUUUAAAUUAUCCCAUCCAUUAGGUUAUCGGUGAAAAAAUUCGCGAUAUUAUCGCAAUUUUAUGAUGAUUUUAUCGAUAGGA